UGAGGAAUAUUGGUCAAUGGACGGAAGUCUGAACCAGCCAAGUAGCGUGCAGGAAGACGGCCCUAUGGGUUGUAAACUGCUUUUGUAUGGGGAUAAAGUCAAUCACGUGUGAUUGUUUGCAGGUACCAUACGAAUAAGGACCGGCUAAUUCCGUGCCAGCAGCCGCGGUAAUACGGAAGGUUCGGGCGUUAUCCGGAUUUAUUGGGUUUAAAGGGAGCGUAGGCCGGAGAUUAAGUGUGUUGUGAAAUGUAGACGCUCAACGUCUGACUUGCAGCGCAUACUGGUUUCCUUGAGUACGCACAACGUUGGCGGAAUUCGUCGUGUAGCGGUGAAAUGCUUAGAUAUGACGAAGAACUCCGAUUGCGAAGGCAGCUGACGGGAGCGCAACUGACGCUGAAGCUCGAAGGUGCGGGUAUCGAACAGGAUUAGAUACCCUGGUAGUCCGCACAGUAAACGAUGGAUGCCCGCUGUUGGUACCUAGUAUCAGCGGCUAAGCGAAAGCAUUAAGCAUCCCACCUGGGGAGUACGCCGGCAACGGU
rnacentral:rRNA from 1 species